AGCAGACGUAAUCAACCGGAAAAGGCCAUUUGCAGUUUGGUUUCCGUACACGGCAAUCCAGCGGCUAUGGUGCCAACUUGAGGAACUCAUCAAAAUGGGUCACAUGGUAGAUCAAUGCGAUAAACUUAAAAGACUAUUACAUGGAGCCUUGCUGAGACAUCUUACGCUGUCAAAGGUGGACUCCGAUGAUGCAUCUGCUGCUGUUUAAAGAUAAAAGCAAAAUUUUUAUCAGCCAAGAAACCCUAAUUAUCUCUUAAGCAUUCGAAUAUGCCUCAAUCCCCAUGUUGAUUUUUGCAUCAUUGUAUGUAUCGGGCCUCGUUACAAAUGUAAUAUUAAGCUUCGUAUAUUUGCAUUCCAAUACAAUUUAAUUGCAGUUACCUUUUGUAGUUUAGAAAGCUCAAGAAUUCUACUUGUGAAUAAUCAAAAUAUUGGAGACUGGUGGAUUCAAGUACUAAAA